AAGACCUUGUGCUUUUGGAGCGGCCGAUGCCUGAUUKGCUAGUUGGUGGGGUAAAGGCCUACCAAGGCUUCGAUUCAGUAGUUGGUCUGAGAGGACGACCAGCCACACUGGGACUGAGACACGGCCCAGACUCCUACGGGAGGCAGCAGUGGGGAAUUUUGGACAAUGGGGGCAACCCUGAUCCAGCCAUGCCGCGUGAGUGAAGAAGGCCUUCGGGUUGUAAAGCUCUUUCAGUCGGGAAGAAAAGGUUACGACUAAUACUCGUAAUUUAUGACGGUACCGACAGAAGAAGCACCGGCUAACUACGUGCCAGCAGCCGCGGUAAUACGUAGGGUGCGAGCGUUAAUCGGAAUUACUGGGCGUAAAGGGUGCGCAGGCGGUCUUGUAAGUCAGAUGUGAAAUCCCCGGGCUUAACCUGGGAACU
rnacentral:rRNA from 1 species